ensembl:lncRNA
UAGGUUAACGCCUUCCUCUGAGGCAACUGCACGGGUGUUACCGUCCAGCACCACGAGGAUUCCGUUUACUUCAGAUCUUGGGCGCGCGCUCUCACGGUAAACGAAAAAGCCAAUAGGAGCUCAGAGAGAGACCAGAGAGAUAUCCCCCCUUCACUGGUACAGCUGACUGAACUACUGGGGGACAAAGUGAACACACUCUGAAAGACUGUCUCACUAGACGAACAGGCAGUAGGGCCUCGUGCACACCGUGCACCACUCCCUAGCAUUCUUCUUGCCAAUGUCCAGUCUCUUGACAACAAGGUUGAUGAAAUCCGAGCAAGGGUAGCAUUCCAGAGGGACAUCAGAGACUGUAACGUUCUCUGCUUCACGGAAACAUGGCUAACUGGAGAGACGCAAUCCGAAGCGGUGCAGCCAGCGGGUUUCUCCACGCAUCGCGCGGACAGAAACUAACAUCUUUCUGGUAAGAAGAGGGGCGGGGGCGUAUGCCUUAUGACUAACGUGAC